CAUAUGUUCAGGGGAUAGUUUAUUUAAAAAUAUUAGUUUUGGAGACUAAUGAAGGAGUAUUAUUUCU
rnacentral:tRNA from 1 species